rnacentral:sRNA from 1 species
GCUGGGUGUGGUAGUGCAUGCCUAUAAUCCCAGCGACUUGGAAGUCUGAGGCAGGAGAAUCACAAGUUCAAAGCCAGCUUCAGUAACAUAGCAAGACCAUAAGCAAGUUAGUGAGACCCUGUCUUUA